rnacentral:lncRNA from 1 species
GUCUUCAUUCAUCCUUCACAUUUACUGAGCACCUACUAUGUGCAAGGCGCUGUUCCAGUUGCUGGGCAUGCAGCAGGGAACUAAAGUGGCAAAAAUUCCCACCUUCAAGGAGCUAGCCUUUUUGAUGGGCUAGCAAUCCAAAGCAAACUUUGGAUUUUGCUUGUGUAUUUAUUAGAGACAAGGUCUCGCUCUAUCCCAGGCUGGAGUGCAGUGGCACAAUCAGCUCACCGCAGCCUCAAUCUCCCAGCUACUUGGGAGGCUGAGGCAGGAGAAUCACUUGAACCCAGCAGGCAAAAGUUGCAGUGAGCUGAGAUCAUGCCAUCGCAUUGAAGCCUGGGCAACACACAGAGACUCUGUCUCAAAAAAACAAAAAAAAGAAUGCGUUGGAGAAGUAGAAGGCUGCCAUAAUCAUAUAUAGGGGUGUAUGUGUGUGUGUGUAUGUGUAUAUAUAUAUGUAUAUAUAUAUAUGUUGUAUGUGUAUAUAAUUAUAUGCACAUAUAAUUACAUGUAAUAUAUGAUAUAACAUUUUCAUUGAGGUAUAAAAUAUAUACAAUAAAAUGCAUAAAUUGC